CGGCACGGCCGGCCGGCGCCGGCCCCGCAGCCCCUCAUCGCGCGGCGGGAUGGGGCAGCGCCCAGCCGCCGCGCAUCGCUCGCCAGCGGCUCCAGCUCCGGGGCCCGGGGGAAUCCGGGCGGGUCAGCGCCCCAUGGCGGCGGCAGCAGCAGCGGCGGCGGCUCCUCUGCCCCGCGGCGCCCAGCCCCGCGCCUCCGCCUGCCCCUCGCUCCCCUUCCCUCGCUCCGGCUCCUGGCCUGCCUGCCAAGCCGCGUCCCUUUCAUCUGCUCCACGUGACAGCUACCGCGGGGUUAUCCCCGCCCCCGCGCGCUGACCCGCGCCCGCCCGCCCGCCCGUCGGCCGCGGGAGCCGCCGCGCAGCACCUGGGCGGGUCACGGGCCGGGGCCGCAGGGGAGUCGGGGCCGGGGUGCAGCACCUGGCCGGGGGCAACCAGGGCCCCGCUCGGGGCGGACAGCGCUGGGCUCGCUGACCCCGCAGCCGCAGGGGAAAUCGCGUUACUUUAGGGGGCCUCGAGCAGGGGACUCGUUAAAGGGUCGGAGCCGGGCGGAGAGGGGCCCUCCCGGUCCCCACGAGCCCGGUCCGCUCCAGGCACGCGAGGCUCCGCUGACGCUAGGGGGCGCCUGCCCGUGUCAAGAAGAACAGGCGUCGGCACGUGCAGGAUCCGGCCUGGACACUUGGCCUUGCCUGGCUUCAGCCAGAGCCUGAGUGUGAAGUGUUGCCGUGCAGCAGAGAGCUACUCACAGGGCACGUGGAGCGGGAGAGGGCCCAUAACGGAAAGCAAAGUAAUAGUUCUUGGAGGUUUUAGUCUGAAAACUGACUGCUAACAUGGGCUGCUUCUUACCAAGAAGACUGCUACCUACCUUUCCGUAGCUGUUGACCUUUGAGAGGGGGUUGCACAUGUCCGCACUGUAGGCAUGUGAGAACCUUUUUCCAAAGCAGUACCUGUCAAAGCCAGAGGGGCACCGCCUGCCACUGCGGGGGGUCUAAGAGGGUGGAACCUUCCCCCCUUUCACUUCCUUCCUACCGCCUAGACUUUACUAGAGAGGGGAAGGAAGGUGGCUUGUGGAAUGGACAUGUGCAGCACAUUUCAAAAAACAACACUUUUGGAAAGGUGCAACAGAUAAUCCAAUCUGGUUAACGGGAACCUGCACUGAAGAGACACUUCUCUGUUGAGACCAGGUAGAAAAAUGUUUCCAUUUGGCCAGGUAGAAAAAUGUUUCCAUUUGGCUAGUUGAAGGCUUUCUCCUGUUCAGAAGCACCUUGUGAAUGUCUUUUGAGCAAGUCCUUUCUAGUGGUGUUAGCCGGGAAGUAUCCACACUGUUAAAUGGAGGGCCUGUAGGUUGGGGUUGAGUAGACUGCAGUGGUCUGAAAAAAUCACAUCUGAAUCUAAUGGGGGAGGUAGGAGGCCUCACUAAAAGGUUUCAAGAACCAGCAUUAUCGAGGCCAUGCUGCUGCCAUUUGAAUGAAGCAAGCAUGUUCCUGCUUGAUCUUGAAUAGGACUCUGAGUACUAAUGGAAUCAGAGGAAAGGCAUACAGCCGUGAGUUCAUCGGUGAUAGCUGAAAAGCAUCUGUCAAAGACCCAGGUCUGGAAUUCUCUCAGCAGCAGAACAGGAGGCAUUUGUUGCAAACAGGUCCAUGUGAGAAGUUUCCCCAGAGCUGGAAGAUGAGCCUAGCCACAUCUGGACCUAGUGACCAUUCAUGGUGAGGGGACAAAGACCUGCUCAGCUGAUCUACUGAUGUGUUCUGCUCUCCUGGGAGGUCUUGGGGCUGAGGUAUAAAGCUCUGAUAUCUGUGAGCCUUCUGGGGCCAGAAUUGCUUCCUCUUCAUUGCCAGUGUAUAAAUUCCAAGGGACUUCAGUAUUGCCCUCGAAUCUUGUAAGCUAUGCCGCCUAUUGUCCAUCGUUUCUGAAAAGAGGGAUGGACCCUCAAAUGGCAAAUCCUAGAUGGUCUGCUGUACUUCAGGAGGGAGACCAGAAGAUUGCAGCCAUGAACUUCUCCUCAUAGAAAUAGCAGAUGUCAUGGAACAAGCUACUGAGUCUGCUGCAUCCUAACUCUUGUGAAUAGCUGUCCUUGCACCCCCGCUUACCCUCCUCUACCAUGAGUGAGAACCUGCCUGGAAUCCUCUGGUAGCCUGUCUUUAAACUUAAGGAUGUUUUCUCAUAGGGUAAAAUCAUAGCAAUUUAGGAGGGCUAGCUGGUUAACAAUUCUUGGCUGCAGACCUUCUGUUGAAUAAGUUUAUGACCAAACAGGUCCAGCCUCUCUGAUUUCUUACUCUUUGGCGUCAAUGCUUGGUGACCCUGACUCUCCUGCUCAUGACCUGCUGCCACCACCAAAGGGCCUGGGCGGGGGUGAGAGUAGAGGGGUUUGAAGCCCUUAGAAGGGACACAGUAGCUCCUCUGUGCCUAUUUCGCUGUAGGCGGGAGGGAAGAAGGGGUCUGUGAAAGUAUUUUAACCAGUUCCAGAAUUGCUUCAUUACCUCAGAAGUACCACUCUGGCGGGUCUCACAGAAGCUAAAGUAUCCACUAGCAUGGGGGAUUUCUCACAGACCGAUUCCACUUGAAUGUCUAAAACCGAGGCCACCCUUUUAAGCCGUUCUUGGUGAGUAUUGUAAUGCCCUGGUGAUGGAGAAUUGCUCAACAUCUCUACAACCUCAUCAGGUGAUAAGGAAAUGACACACCAGGAUGCUGAGGCAAUUGCUGGUUUGCCACUUGCGGUGUAGGAACUGCCUGAGCAACUUCUAGUUGCUCAGUACCAAGCAUCAGAGAAAGUUUCCUGUGAUGCCAGUGAUCUUGGUGCAUCCUUGAGGAAAUAGACUCAGGUGAGGAAAGGACCUAGCAGAGGGAGGGACACCCCUCGGUGGCCAGACCUGGUGACGGUGGGCCCCAGGGUUGUGCAUGCCAUUGUCCCUUGUGACAUGUCUGCUGCUGGGACGUCGAGGGCUCUGAUGGAAGAUAAGGUUCUUGUCUGGUAUGAGACACAAAAGACUCCACUUCCGAGUCCGACAAAGAUGACUGAGUCCUACGGUAAUGGAGGAGCAGAACCCAUGUGGUCAGGAGACAAGUAAGUGAACCCAGAGACAGCAGUGCUGGGGAUAUUAACAACAGCUUGCCCCUGGAGUGCACUGGCCUCCUAGGCAUCAGGAGCAGCAUCAGUAAUGCAUGUUCUUGCGGAGCUGGCAUAGGCACUACAGACACUGGUACUGACUGGAACCCUUCCUGCAUCACCAGGGACAUUGGUAUUGAGAGGUUAAGUAAUUCUCUGGCGACAGUAUAUGCUUCUGGUAUUGCUGGUAUCAGGAUUGGGUCUGACAAAUAGAAACUUCAGGGCUGGCCUUGGCAGACAUGGCACAGGUUCUGGAGUAGACGCACCUCCUAUUGCAGCAGAGGCAUACUGUGGGGAACGCUUCCCCUCAGAAUCCCUCCCAGAGAUCUUGCUUUUAUCUGGCCUCGGUUAUGAAGAUCUUGCUGGACGAAGUACUGUGUCCUUGGCAAAUCUGUCUCCUUUUCAGUACCAGAGACCGAGAAUGUGGUGCCAAAGACCUCUCAGGAAGCACGCGCCGCAUGAAUAGUGCUGCACUUGGAGUGUGCUCUAAACCCAACGACUCCCAGGGAGGGCAAAGUGCCACCUCCAUAAGGUGACAAAUCUCACUGUUCUGUCUCUUUUUGAGCAAGGCUUAAAUCAUCUGCAAAUGUGACACUUGUCACUGAUGUGGGACUCCCCCAGACAUCUUAGGCAGCUGGGAUGUGGGUCACAGACCAGCAUCGGUCUGGCACACGACCAGCAGGACUUGAACUCCAGCGAGCGAGACAUGGCUCCAGUCCCAGUAUCAAAUAAUCAAACUUGGUCCAAAAGGGACCCAAACAACUAAAACCUAAUAUUAACGCUACACUAUAUCUAAUUAACUACUAAGUACUAAAUGAGAAACAAACUAUAUACAAAAAGGGUGAGGAAAAUAAACUUGCCAUCGCAAUACUGGAUGGAAGCGCUCCAACAACCAUCACUGGCAAUAAGAAGGAACUGAGGGGGGUUAGGGGCGGCUCUGCCCUCUUAUACUGGCACAUGGUGAUGCACAGAUGUAGCGGGCACUUGAGCUGCCCCAACAGGUGCCACUGAGGGGAAAAGUUCUCCAAUAACUGUGCAUGAGGCGCACACUCACGUACAGUGAAUGGACAUGUGCAAUCACUCAGAGAACCCCUUUGUUGUAUUCAGAGUUGCACAUAGUUGCUUAACUAAAGAAAGAUUUUAAUGGGAUUUACUCAUGUUAGCACUGCUAAGUCACUUUUCAGUGCCCAUCCAUCUAGAUUCUUGUACUGUGCCCAUCACCACAGUAUCCAAGCUUUAUAUGGUGAUUAGGCAUUUAUAAGAUGCCUCUAAAACAUUGUCAUAGAUAUCUGACUCUUGAGUGAGCUGAAUUCUAGUUGAGGUGAAGAGUCAUCAACACAAUAGUUAAAAAUACUGCAGCUGGAACUCAAUUAUGGUUGAUGAUGCACAAGCCAACAAGAACUCGGCUGACUUCCACAUCCCACUGCAGUCUGCAGUGCUAGCAUCUGCUUAGUUUACAAGCUGGAUUUCAUUUUUCAGGCUCACUGUGUAUAGAUACAUGCUCAGAUAGUACAGUGCCUUAUAAGAGGCUAGCUAGGUAGGCAUGACAGAAUCAUGGAAUCCCAUGAAGCUCUAUUUUUGGUCACUUUUCAGACUAUAGCCACAAGUUAAGUAAAUACCAUUCUGAUUUGAUACACCUUGAACUAUUGACUUGUAUGUAAUUUUCGCACUUAGAAAUUCAAAUGAAAGACUAAUUUCUUUUAAUGGCAUUUUACCCCUUGGUAUAUGUACUGCAUUAUUUUUAUUUAUACAAUGCCAAAAAGUGUGCUUAGCAUCUAGACAUUUCUUGGUGUGUGCAGUUGUUACCAAAAGGGUGAUUAGAUAUUUGAUCUCUAGGUUGACAACUUCUGAUUUUACGACCAACUCAGACACAUAUAGGAUCCCUUCUUUAAGUAGUUCCCCUUCACUUCCCUCCAAUAAAUAAUGGAAAGGGACAUCCCUACCUCUCAAUCUUCAAACUUACCAAUACAUGACAAACGACCAGCUGAUCAUAGAAUCAUAGAUUAUAGGACUGGAAGGGACCUCGAGAGGUCAUCGAGUCCA